rnacentral:rRNA from 1 species
AUUGAACGCUGGCGGCAUGCUUUACACAUGCAAGUCGAACGGUAACAGGCCGCAAGGUGCUGACGAGUGGCGAACGGGUGAGUAAUGCAUCGGAACGUGCCCAGUCGUGGGGGAUAACUACUCGAAAGAGUAGCUAAUACCGCAUACGAUCUAUGGAUGAAAGCGGGGGACCGUAAGGCCUCGCGCGAUUGGAGCGGCCGAUGUCAGAUUAGGUAGUUGGUGGGGUAAAGGCUCACCAAGCCAACGAUCUGUAGCUGGUCUGAGAGGACGACCAGCCACACUGGGGCUGAGAGGCGACCCAGGCUCCGACGGGAGGCAGCAGUGGGGAAUUUAGGACAAUGGGCGCAAGCCUGAACCAGCAAUGCCGCGUGCAGGAAGAAGGCCUUCGGGUUGUAAACUGCUUUUGUACGGAACGAAACGGCUCUGGUUAAUACCCGGGGCUAAUGACGGUACCGUAAGAAUAAGCACCGGCUAACUACGU